UCUAUGAUUGAGCUAACUCUUUCCCCACCCCGCUCUCUACUGGCUCCAUCAACUCCAAAUAAAGCUUAAGCAUCUUUCUAUAGUUCCGGUACAGAUAUAGCAGUACUUUUUCUCGUUCACUCGUUACACAGCCUGACAAAACAAGGAAUAAAGAUAGAGCUGCAACCUUAACAGAAGGAUUUUAUAAGGGAGCCACUAAGCCAUACCUCUCUAGUUCAACCAGCCCCUAAAAGAAUAGGUUCGUUCUGUCUGGCCAAGUGAAAGAAGGCGAUUACGAACUAGCUUGGGAAACUUCUUGUACUGUAACUCUUUCUAGAGCGGAUACAGGUUAUCUCUCCUCAAUGGGGGCUUGGUCCCAUGUUCCUAUUUAUGAUGCUACCCGGGAUUACUCCUAAGCUUAAGCUGAAGUGAAAGCAUAAGCCGAAUAUGUAUGCCAUAGUUAAGUCACCUAGGGACCCUAUCUUUACUGAAACUGCCUUUGCGCCAAGGGAGAGUGCCGAUGACUAUGGCGAGUGCGA
rnacentral:lncRNA from 1 species